rnacentral:piRNA from 1 species
UGCUCAGCCAUGGCUUACAAUGUCUCUUAC